rnacentral:tRNA from 1 species
AAAAAGAUAAGCUAAGUUAAGCUGAAGGGUUCAUACCCCUUUUAUGGUUUAUCCUCUUUUUA